rnacentral:rRNA from 1 species
UACGUAGGGCGCGAGCGUUGUCCGGAAUUAUUGGGCGUAAAGAGCUCGUAGGCGGCUUGUCACGUCGGGUGUGAAAGACCGGGGCUUAACUCCGGUUCUGCAUUCGAUACGGGCUAGCUAGAGUGUGGUAGGGGAGAUCGGAAUUCCGUGGUGUAGCGGUGAAAUGCGCAGAUAUCAGGAGGAACACCGGUGGCGAAGGCGGGUCUCUGGGCCGAUACUGACGCUGAGGAGCGAAAGCGUGGGGAGCGAACAGG